GAUGAACGCUGGCGGCGUGCCUAAUACAUGCAAGUCGAGCGAACAGACGAGGAGCUUGCUCCUCUGACGUUAGCGGCGGACGGGUGAGUAACACGUGGAUAACCUACCUAUAAGACUGGGAUAACUUCGGGAAACCGGGGCUAAUACCGGAUAAUAUAUUGAACCGCAUGGUUCAAUAGUGAAAGACGGUUUUGCUGUCACUUAUAGAUGGAUCCGCGCCGCAUUAGCUAGUUGGUAAGGUAACGGCUUACCAAGGCAACGAUGCGUAGCCGACCUGAGAGGGUGAUCGGCCACACUGGAACUGAGACACGGUCCAGACUCCUACCGGAGGCAGCAGUAGGGAAUCUUCCGCAAUGGGCGAAAGCCUGACGGAGCAACGCCGCGUGAGUGAUGAAGGUCUUCGGAUCGUAAAACUCUGUUAUUAGGGAAGAACAAAUGUGUAAGUAACUAUGCACGUCUUGACGGUACCUAAUCAGAAAGCCACGGCUAACUACGUG
rnacentral:rRNA from 1 species